rnacentral:rRNA from 1 species
UACGUAGGGUGCGAGCGUUGUCCGGAAUUAUUGGGCGUAAAGGGCUCGUAGGCGGUCUGUUGCGUCGGGUGUGAAAACUCAGGGCUUAACCCUGAGCCUGCUUCCGAUACGGGCAGACUAGAGGUAUGCAGGGGAGAACGGAAUUCCUGGUGUAGCGGUGAAAUGCGCAGAUGUCAGGAGGAACACCGGUGGCGAAGGCGGCUUGCUGGGCCAGUUCUGACGCUGAGGAGCGAAAGCGUGGGGAGCGAACAGG